rnacentral:lncRNA from 1 species
AGACGGCGCCAAACUGUUGAUGCGAAAAAGUGGUUUAAUACGUAUUUCGUCAACUUAGUUCAAUUAUCCCUUCGGCAGGUCGCUGUCCUCGGUAGGUGGUCCACUCUGGAGGGUAAGUACCUGCAAAAGGAUAAGUUCGGUAAAUCCUUGGGGUACCGGUGUGGUACCGGCCGAAGGCUCUCCGAUGCUUAAGUAAGUACGGAUUUAGUAAGGUUAACUGACAGAUCACACGAUAGCGUACCGUUAGUUCUGAUCCCUCCCUUUUGGGGAUAUGGGUCUCCUUUUAUAGGCCUUGG